UUCCAACCUAUGUCUUUUUUGCUAGCGUCCGACGAUUCCAUUGAAUUUGAACCUACUGUUUAUAACUGUGUAACAAAAUUUAAACAAUUAUUGAACAGAAAAAAUAGGAGCAAAACAACCAAUGCCUCACUGGUCCAAACAGAGAAAAAAACAGAGGAAGAAACAGAGGAGAAAAAAACAGAGCAAUUAACAGAGGUGAAAAAAACUGAGGGUAAAAAAACAGAGGAGAAAAACCAGAAAACGAAGAAGAGAAUAGAAUCAGUCAAAAAAAAAAAAAAAAAACCAGAGGUGGCCGGAAAUAGGGCAGUUGUCGCCGGAAAAAAAGAAGAAGAAAGAAGAAGAACAGAUGAAGAAGCAGAAAAAGAAGAAGAACUGAAGAAAAAGAAGAAGGAGAAAGAGACAUACCUGAAACCUUGAAGGAGAAGAGAGG